rnacentral:ncRNA from 1 species
GAAAAAGCUAUGAUUGGACAACAGUAGUAGGCAUUUCCCUGUUAAAGUAAUGUUCAAAGAUCAGCUAACGAUAGCGCUUAGUCUCGUUAGCUUGAUCUUUGAACAUUCUAGCUAGAGAGCUGGUGGUCGGUGGAAACCAGUACAAACUUGCUUAUGAAUUACUUCCAAGAGCAUCCUUUGUGAACAGUAUUUUACUUUAAGUAGCGAAGGACGGUUCAAACCGUUAUUUUUCCGAGGUGGAAAGUAUAUUUUACUUUCAACAAGGGUGGUACCGCGACUAUAAGCUCGUCCCUUUU